UCGGUAUACCACCCCUAUAAACACUUGCUUUUCCUUGUUGUUAUUAUGUUCUGUCCUUAAAAAAAAUUCUCAAGCAGCUGAGACAACAAGACAGGGUGGUCCAGGGAUGGGAGUGCAGACACCUGGAUUUUCCUGCCUCUCCUCGCCUAGACUUGCCCUGGAAGUUAGGGUUGUCUACAACCGUUUUCUCUCCUCAGUUUCCUGUCCCCAGUAAGGAACUGACUGUGGUUGAACAGGAUGUCAUGAUCUCAUGUGAGGGUGUAUUAUAUUAUAUGCUUUGGAAUUCGAUUAGAUCACUGGUUUCUAUAAAACUCUCUCUCUCUCUCUUACUCUCUCUCUCUCUCUCUCUCUGAGUGUGUGUGUGUGUGUGUGUGUGUGUGUGUGUGUGUGUGUGUGUAUGUGUGUGUUCUAAUGUGCAUAUCUACCCUCAGGAUCUCUCUCCCAGGCAUCCACUCAGAACUUUCUAGAAUAUGUUUGGUGUACCUUCGCUUUGAUAGUCAACAUGUAGCAUUAGGAGCCAGAGGAGGAAGAAAUCACCAUUUUCUAUGUGAACUCCUCUCCCCAUGCCUCCCUGUGACUGUAUGGCUUGGCUUGGACAGUUCCUCCCAAAUUUUGAGAUGCUCAGGAUUCAUGGGAGGAUAUUGUUAACCUGUGGGUCUGACUGGCAGAUUUGAUAUUCGGUAUUUCUAAUAGGCUCCAAAAAGAUGGCAAGUGCUAUUGUUAGACAGAUUGUCCUUGGUGCAGCAAGUAUAGGACACAGGGACAUAAUCAUUUUGGGGGUUGACCUCCCUUCCCUUCAAAUCCUAGGUUCUGUGCACUUUUCAGCAAUGCCAAAAACAAUUGAGAAUCUUGUGGGGACACUGGACACUUUGAGGUUUCCAGCCCUUUUUCUUGGAGUUUUCAAUUAGUUGAUGUUAGAAUUAAUAUUUUAAAAACAUCUCAAAUAUUUCAAUGUAUUCAUUUAAUUUAUUCUAUUUAUGUCUGAUCUCCUGAAAUCAUUGCUCAAUCCUUUAGGGAUAUGGAAUUAGAUCUCUUAUCUCGGGAAGCCAUUGUUAUGUCCUUUAGGGACAUUGAAUUAGAUCUCUUAUAAUCUGAGUCUUACCCUUCAUUUAAAUUGUUUUUGUAGUGUCUGUUGAUUCCCUGUAUAUUUCUUAUCACUUCCAAAGCCACUGAAGUCAGAACACUGCAGAACAGUUGUGACUCUCCCAUCAUUGAUGUACUAAUGUUCAGAACCUAAGUUUGAAAACACACACACACACACACACACACACACACACACACACACACACACUGUAGUUGUCAGAGAUACUGUAAAAAAAAUUUCUAGGAAAGCACAUACUACCAUCCAUUUCUACCUUUUUCUUUAUGUAUUUAAUUAACAAGACCCAAAGGCCAUUUUAGAGUAAAUGAUGCCUGUGCUUUGUCACCAAAACUUAUAUUCCAAGGACUUUAGUUACAAUAACCUCGGAAAGAUGUGGUCUUGAGUUUUUCCUUUCAUUUGUGUUUAUUUUUAGACUUGUGAUAUCCAAACAGCUAUGGCAUCUGCUUUUAUUGUCAACAACUCCUUUAUUUUAUUUUGUUAUUUUUUUUAUUUUUGUUUUGAUUUGGGGAAUCAUCCAAAGGCAUCUUUUGGUGAAGAAGACCCAUGGCACCCAGUGAAGUUGAACACCCUCCUGGAGGCAAGCAGCCACCUUUUAUGAUUUUCUUUCAAUCCUUUCUACUUCCUUGCUCCUUCCUCCCCACCUCCCAUCAUCCAUAGCGUGGGUGAACUAAUCCAUCUCACAAGCGGAGUUCAGAGACUUGCCUUUCCACGCUGCUGCUCCUGUACUUUGUCCUGGCACCUCACCACCGGCAACAAGAGGCUUCUUUCAUAUUUAUCAGCACUUAAUUGCAAUCGCUGCUGCUUUAUGACCUCACAGAGGUCUUCAUCUUCAGUCAUUGUUUCCUGCUGGCUGGUGGAGCCCAGUGAUCACCGUCUUUUCCCACCAUUCAGCUCACAGAGGUGCAAGCUCAGAUGAAUUUUCCAGGCCGCAACUGGGAGAGGCAGUGGCUCAAUCACAAUUGCCUUAAAGGAAACAUUACAAACCCAAACACUGUCCAUUGGAAAAUGUUUUGGGAUGACUUAGGCAGGUUUCCAAUAGGACUUUGGGAAUGAAUUAAGAUGAUGAAUAUGAAUUUGGCUUCCUUGGAGGCAUUGGCAGGACCAAUGAAGGGAUAAGCUAACUGAAAAGGUUUUAGUUUGUUAUAUUUCAUGAGAGGACUGUGGUGGUCAACUCUACUGGUUGAAGGUCAGACAUGCAUCACUUCAAAGCUUGCUUCCAAGAUGUGACUCAUUUAAAUGUUCAGUUAUUGAUUUCAGCACGGAGUUUGAUAAUUUUUUUCCAUCUACUUGUUUUUGGUGUGGUUUCUUCUUUUUGUUCCACAGCUUUCAGACUACUCUGGUAGCUGAAUUGAACACAGACUAGAGGAAGAUCAAGUCAAGCCUGGAGAAAAAUGACACAAUCCAGGCAAGGGGUGCACACAGAGUGAAGACAAAGAUGUUUUCCAGCCAUGUUUCUCAGUCUUGAACAUGCAGAUGGGUCACUAGAAGUUUAUUGCACAACAACACUAAAACUUCGAUCUGAGUUGCAAAGACAGUUUCCAGUGACACUAACAUUGCUGUGCUAAAAACCACAACAGAGAAGGAAGAAAAGAAACAAAAAUCUUGCUGAUAGAUGGCUAUGGCUUCAUUGAAAGAAAAGCAUCACGAACUGUUUUCUCUCUCACACUUUGGAAAAUGUACACAGGGCAAUUACUGAAAUAGAAGUUUCAUUUCCACCCCUGCUUUUAAAGCUAUCUUAUUCCUGUCUAGUGGCACUCAAAAGCUUUUCAGGAUGGGUGGACAUUUACAUACUCCAGGAAAUGGCAUUGUAAUAAUAUAGCACAUUUCUGGUUCAAAAGUUGAAUAAGACACACACACACACACACACACACACACACACACACACACACACAAGCUAUUAUGGUUUCAAGCUUUCAGCUCUUAGUGGUCAUUUUGGUGGUUAUUUACACAUGUCUAAUUCAUUGUUUUUUAAGACUAUGUAUAGACUAUCCUUUCCUACAAACAUCAAGUAUCUUUAAAAUAUAUGGGUUCCAUAAGAAAAUCCAUCUUUUAUACAUUAAGUGGAAAAAGGUUUUUAAGAAAUGGUGAUUGUUAAAAUUUUAAAAGAAAAAAAGGUAUGAGGAUUAAGGAGAUAGUUUAUUUAGUAAAAAGCUUGCCAUUUAAAUAUAAAAUCCUGAGUUCACAUCCCUAGCACUCAAACAAAAAGAUGUGUAGGGAAGCACAAGUCUGUAAGCUCAGUUCUGGGAAGUUGGAGACAGGAGGAUCUCCCAGCCUUACUGGUCAGCCAGUUUACCUUACUUGUUGAACUCCUGCCCAAAUGAGAGAGACUCUUACCCUCUCUCCAAAACGUAGAGAGUGAUAGAAAGAGAUAAUCAUAAUCAAUGCCAAGCAGUAGCCUACACACACAGACAUACACACAGACCACACACACACACCACACACACACACACACACAGACACACACACAGACAUACACACACAGACACACACACAUACACACACACACCACACAUGAAGAGGGAGAGAGGGAGAGAAAGAGAGAGAGAGGGAGAGAAAGAGAGAGAGGGAGAGAAAGAGAGAGAGAGCGAGAGAGAGAGAGAGAGAGAGAGAGAGAGAGAGAGAGAGAGAGAGAGAGAGAGAGGAGAGCGCCCUGGUAUAUACCUGGGACAAAGGUUAUCACACUUAUACCUUCACAUACAUUGCUGCAUCACUGUCCACUUGUCCCCACCAAGCCAUCUUGGUAUCCCUUGUUCCAGUCAAAAAUUGGCAAUUGAUUUGCUGUCCAGAAGUCGAAGUCUACCCACUGUGAAGCUGCUCAUAAAUGAAUGCUUCUUCUGUUUAGGAAUCUGAAAGCUUUCCUGGAAGACCCUGUCUUGCUCAAAGCCAUACAAUGCCAACCUGACAUCAUCUGGCCCAGCUCACUUCAUAAAAUGAAUCUGACUUUAUAGACCCUAUAGGAUUUCAGUGGUUGCUUCUAGAAAUGGAAAACCAUGGUGAGGCCAAACCUUCCCAUAGUUUCGUCUCUCAUUGCGUGCUUUCUGUGGAUUGACAGUUAUUCAUUUGAUACCGUAGCACAGUUCAUACCUGGCGCUAAAGAUGCGAACUUGUCUGCCCUUCCAAGAUUUUCUGACUUUGGAGGCCACUAUAAGCUGGAAUACAUGAUUUUCUGGCUAGAACACAUUCCUAGAAGGCUCUUUGGACACUAACAACCUCUUACCAAAGGACACUACACCAAGAAUCUGAAACAUGUGGGUUGUUUCUCCUCAACUAAACAUGGGCUCUCAUGGUGGGUAGGGCAAGAGUGGAUACAGGCAACAGUGUGUGGAGAUGGUCUGGAAUCUUUUUAAAAUGAAAACCAUAUGAAAAAAAAAUUUUUACAAAGAAUUUAAAUAUUACCUAAAUUUCAGUUCAUUCUUAAUUUGAAAUGUUAAAUUUAUCAUAGUUUAGACAGUUGUUCUCCAAUCUUGAUUUUUGACAGUGACCUAGAAUAUCAGACCAAAAAUCCAGUUUUCCUGCACUUUUCAAACCAUUCCAUUGGGUUCCAUUUGACAGUUUCUGUGAGGCUCAUGCUCUUUAGGUGUGGUCUCUUCUGAGAAUAAUGGUUAUAACAUGUUGUUUGUGAUCAAGGUCUAGUCUCCUAAACAUGACUCCUUCUCCAGUAUGAUGAAAAAAGGAUCAAGGAAAGUCAUCAUUUGCUUAACAACUAGGAAAGAGAUUGGCAUCAGAAACCUAUGGGACAUGAAAGCCAUGGUCUCCACUUAUGUCUUGAUUCAUUUUAACACCAAUUACAGUUAAAAAAAAAAAGAAAAGAAAACCUUACAAAAUGUGACCUUGAUAACUCUCCCUUGGUAGAGCCAAGGUCAAUUCCAACUUGCAUUCUUUUCUAAAAAUGCUGCUUUAUCACAUUGCCAAGGACAAAGGAAGGUUGAGUCCAACUGUAUAUCUUUUAAAAUCUUGAGAACGUUUUAACAAGGCAAGAAAGAUUUCCCAUAAUUACCAUAUAAGAUGUCUCAGUUAAAAUACCUGAUGUUCUUCUGGAGUUUGAAAAACUGGGCUAUCUUUCAAUAUCAAAAAUCCCCUUGCUUAUUCUAUGACUCAGCACAAGAAAACUUUCAUCCACUGGACAAUGUUGAGACAAAUGCCUGAGGACUUGCUAUCUUACCGAUCUCAGUGCAGGUUAAGAAAUUCCUCCUAGACUUACCAAACCUCUUAUAAGGAUAGGUCCCUAUGUGCCUGGGUGCCGAGUUGUAAGAUUCUUACACAGCUUGCUCCUCUAUGUCUCCUUAGUCUCUGUUCAAGUGCCCACCUCUGAGCAAGUACUGAAUCCAUUCACUCCUUGCCUCCUUCAUUCUAUGAUCUGUUUUCCCUCUGGAAGCCGUCAGUCGCAGAAGUUAUUUUGCUGCUAUUGGUUUGCCUCCAUCCUUGCCCUAAUUGUAGACAAACACGGUGACCUAAUAAAGGAAAGACCUUAUCUGGUGUGUUCAUUGCCUAACCUGAGGGACUUACAGGAAUGAAACCUCAAUAAAUGUUUUAAAUAGAUAAAAAGCUGAGUUAGUGCAUGAUGUCAUAUAAUAAUUACAUGCUGCAAGAUCUGUCCACCAUUCCUGUUCAUCUCUAGCAACUGUGUAGUCCAUACCACUGAGGGUUCAUGCCUACAACACAAACAACCCUUGAAGUUAAAGGGAUGUCACAUUUGAUGGACAAGUUAUAUAAUCAUCCUCUAAACUGGAGAGUGGGACUGUCUGAACCCCCUGGGCUUUUAUAUAAAGAGAUAAUAAGUAGAUAAACCACCCUUAUGUCCAGGAGAUUAGAAAAUCUUAAUGAAGCAUGUGCCAUUAUUGACUGACUGAAAUAAAAUAUUUUAUUUAACCUUAAAGACACAUUUCUCCUUGAUGUAAAAAGUCCUCAAAGUUUUGUCAACAGGAGACAAUAACAAUACGUGACUAUAGUGACAAUAUUGAGCAAAAUCAACUGUCUUUGAGGAUGUCCCAUCCUUGCAUGUGACUGAUCACAUUUACUGUGAUAGAUGUUGUAAACUCUCCAUGCAGACCUGCCUCAUUUUUCUGGGCACUCACCUCAGGGCUAUUCAAGCAGAGGCUGCUACUGGUACUUAACUAUAUGUCCCUGCUAUUUUAGAGACCCACACACUCUCUAGAGCUACCUGGGUUGAGGAUGAAGGAACGGUCUCUCCCUUAUCUUGUUUCUUUGUGGGUUUCUCCACUGAGUUGUCCCCCUCAGCACAACCCUUGUAUCAGAAUCUCCGUCUUGGGCUCUACUUUACAAGAACUGACCUCAUACAACCACAGACACGUUUCCGUGAGUUUCAAGGGCAUUCCGCCAUUCUCGCCUAAGAUCUUUGAGAGGUGUGGUGAGUGCCAAAUGCUUUUGAGGAAUGGAAACUGAGAGAAAUGAUGAGAAGACAAAGAUGCCCCCAUUGCUCUGUUGUGGGCGGGGGCUGUUGGUUUUCUCUCAGGUUUUAACUGCCUGCCUGAAAUUCCAUGGCUUGUGCUUUGCUGGACAAAUAUCCACCGCUAUAUUAUAUUUUGGAACUUUCUUGGGAAAGUCAAGGCCUUUCACAUGCAGUUUUCAUAACUCAUGUAGCUCUGCCCUCCUGGAGCCUUGGGACAUAGACAAGGAGGAGAAAGUAGUUUUGCUUUAACUUUACAGUGUUUCCCUUAAAUUAAAAAAAUUUAAAAAAAAAAGCCUCUCAAAAUCAGGCAACCUUAAUAUGGUGCUUGUAGCUUGUAGUUGUGUUUUAGCUCAAACUGAAACCAGCCAUACAAAUCCCAGUGAUAUUUAGAUUCUAUUUUUUUUUUUGUUUCAAAAUGUACUUCUGUUGCAGGAAUUAAUUGGAUGGAUUCAUUUAUCUGGUUUUGCACUUGAUUGGGAGUUUUGUAAUGGUUGCCUUUGGAGUUUCUGUGAAUGACGUGCUUUAAAUCACAGUACAGCUGGAGGGGUUGUCAUGUUAAGUAGCAAACGAUAAACAGCAAGACCUCCAUAAAUCCUCCAAAUCUCUAGAGCUAAGGGUUCACAUUUAUGGCUGCUGCUGCUGCUGCUGCUGCCCACAUCAGGAGUCCCCUGAUUUGACCUCAGAAUUCUCUUUUCACCUGUAUAAGGGGCAUCAAGGAGGGAAGAUUGAAUGAGGUAUGUCCAUGUUACCUCUGACCUUUGUCUGGGACCUCAGCCAAGUUUUACAGUCUGGUACUCCGUUUCUGUAUCAAAAUAGUUAUUAAAAUGCAGUUUAUUCUGUUUUAAUCUCCACUGCGGGGUAAGGAUUUGGAACUCGGCAAUAUCUUGAAAUAGCUUCCAGCAAAGCCAUGUUCACCACAACAUGCUUGUAAAUCCAGAGGCACGCCCCCUCCCCCAAAGCCAUGCUUCCUAGUCAGGUACUGGUGUGAUUAUGAAGAAGGCUGUGAAUCAUGGGAGAAAUUCUUUGGGUCUUAUGUAACAACGAGAGCUAUGCAUCAUCGAAUCUGCUAAUAAAGGCUUUGCUGUAUUUCUGGACCACACCUAGCUUUGUCCAUUAGCCAUUUGUGGUUACACCCUCACACAAUUUUCCUGGUGCCCUUUCCCCCUGGAGAACCACAUUUUAAAAAUUCUUCAGAAAGUAUUUUUUCUUUCCUCUUUGAAACUUUAUUUUCUUCUACCCGUGUCCAGGCUGGGCUUUGUGUAUGCUCGGAGUUUAUGCUGACUGGAGUUUCAGGCACCAUGUUCUCUUCCUUCCUGUUGCAGUACCCAUCUUGCAUGGAGAGUUUUCCAGAAGCACAAAGUGAACUGAAGCAGAUGCGCAGUCAUUUUGCCUCGACAGGGAGCUUGAAGGAUCCUCCUGGGACGACAUUGAAAUGCUAGUGAAUGAUGUCAUCUUGAUCACUUUCAGGAUGAUUGCUGAGGGCUCUGAAGACCCAGAUGUGAGUGAAGUGAUGAUUUGGAAGGAGCCCGAGACACUGAAUGACCAUUCUGAAGACCACCCCACUAGGAAAAAAGGCUUUGCUAGCUAGUAACCAUAAUUAGUUGAAAACCCUAUAGUAUUAGUCCCUAAUAUAUAGAAGGGACUUUUUAUAAGCACCUGUCCUCUCUUUCUCUGCUAAUGCUGGCGUGGUGGUAAUGACUGUGAUGAUGACCUCACAUACUGAGAUGAUUCUGUUCUCUAGUAGGCUGUUCAGAUUCCUUGGCCUCUGCCUCUAGGGGCAUGUGACUGUAAGUGAUAACUAGCCUUCCUCUCUGACCGAAGUUUUUAUUAGAAGAAUGUAGUUUGGAGUGAAGUCUUCAAUAUAACUUAGGUUUGCACAGUAAAUUGUAAAACUUUAUGCCAAAAGAACUUGUCGAGAGGAUACAGAUGUCUGACAGUAUCAAAGGUGCUGUUUGAGGCCAUGCUCAUGGAGGGCAAGAAUCAGUCAGUUCUGGGGAUCCAGGCAUCAAGAAUACUGUCAUUGGUACCAAGUACCAAUUAGACCAGAGGACUACUUUGUUGUAAGCUAUUACAGGUUAUCGUAACCAAGUAUUUCAUAUUUCAAAAUUACUAAAAUAAUAGACUUGAAAUCACAAAAGUGUGAUUAAUUAUUGAGAUAUGUAGAUACAUUUAUUAGCUUUCUAUAAUCUAGUCCUAUAUCAAAGCAUUGUACUUUCCCCCAUAAAUAUACGUAACUGUUAGUUUAUUAGAAAUAAAUUAAAUCCUGCCAUGGGUCUUCUCUGAGGUUUACCAUUUUUUUCAUCCUUACUUAAAAGUUAUGUUUUUAAAAAUGUGCACAAAAUUUUAAUAACUUUGAUGGCAAAUAUAUUAACUUCAAAACGUUAAAAAAAUAAAACAGUAGAUUU